rnacentral:rRNA from 1 species
GGGAGGCAGCAGUGGGGAAUAUCGCGCAGUGGGCGAAAGCCUGACGCAGCGACGCCGUUUGGGGGAUGAAGGCCUUCGGGUAUUGAACCUCUUUCAGCAGGGACGAAUUCAGACGGUACCUGCAGAAGAAGCACCGGCCAACUACGUGCCAGCAGCCGCGGUAAUACGUAGGGUGCAAGCGUUGUCCGGAAUUAUUGGGCGUAAAGAGCUCGUAGGCGGUCUGUCGCGUCGGCUGUGAAAACUUGGGGCUCAACCCCAAGCCUGCAGUCGAUACGGGCAGACUAGAGUGCGGUAGGGGAGACUGGAAUUCCUGGUGUAGCGGUGAAAUGCGCAGAUAUCAGGAGGAACACCGGUGGCGAAGGCGGGUCUCUGGGCCGUAACUGACGCUGAGGAGCGAAAGCGUGGGGAGCGAACAGGAUUAGAUACCCUGGUAGUCCACGCCGUAAACGGUGGGUGCCAGGUGUGAGCGGUAUUCCACGCCGUUCGUGCCGCAGCUAACGCAUUAAGCACCCCGCCUGGGGAGUACGGCCGCAAGGCUAAAACUCAAAGGAAUUGACGGGGGCCCGCACAAGCAGCGGAGCAUGUGGCUUAAUUCGACGCAACGCGAAGAACCUUAC